rnacentral:rRNA from 1 species
ACGUGAAACCUUGUGGGAAGCAGGGAGGACCACCUCCCAAGGCUAAAUACUACCUGAUGACCGAUAGUGAAGCAGUACCGUGAGGGAAAGGUGAAAAGAACCCCGGGAGGGGAGUGAAAUAGAACCUGAAACCGUGUGCCUACAACCGCUCAGAGCCCCUUAUGAGGGUGAUGAGGUGCUUUUUGUAGAACGAGCCAACGAGUUACGGUAUGUAGCAAGGUUAAGUACUUAAGGUACGGAGCCGAAGGGAAACCGAGUCUGAAUAGGGCGACUAGUUGCAUGCCGUAGACCCGAAACCGGGUGACCUAUCCAUGGCCAGGUUGAAGCGAGGGUAAAACCUCGUGGAGGACCGAACCACGUUGCUGUUGAAAAAGCAUGGGAUGAGCUGUGGAUAGCGGAGAAAUUCCAAUCGAACCCGGAGAUAGCUGGUUCUCUCCGAAAUAGCUUUAGGGCUAGCGUCGAGUAUGAGUAGUGGAGGUAGAGCACUGAAUGGGCUAGGGGGCAUAGCGCUUACCGAACCUUAUCAAACUCCGAAUGCCACAUACUUUGAGCUCGGCAGUCAGACUACGAAUGAUAAGAUCCGUGGUCAAAAGGGAAACAGCCCAGAUCGUCAGCUAAGGUCCCAAAGUGUAAGUUAAGUGGGAAAGGAUGUGAGAUUUCUAAGACAACUAGGAUGUUGGCUUAGAAGCAGCCAUUCAUUAAAAGAGUGCGUAAUAGCUCACUAGUCGAGAGAUCUUGCGCCGAAAAUGUAACGGGGCUAAACUUACCACCGAAGCUACGGGCUUGAACUUAGUUCAAGCGGUAGGAGAGCGUCGUAACCGGGCUGAAGUCGUACCGUAAGGAGCGGUGGACUGGUUACGAGUGAGAAUGUUGGCAUCAGUAGCGAGAUGUGGGUGAGAAUCCCACAGGCCGAAAACCUAAGGUUUCCUCAGGAAGGUUCGUCCGCUGAGGGUUAGUCGGGACCUAAGCCGAGGCCGAAAGGCGUAGGUGAUGGACAACUGGUUGAUAUUCCAGUACCACUACCAUCGUUAUUAUCGAUGGCGUGACGCAGGAGGAUAGUGUGUGCUAGCUAUUGGAUGCUAGUCUAAGCGUUUAGGCAGUGAGAGUAGGCAAAUCCGCUCUCAUAAUGCUGAGGCGUGAUGGGGAAGGUUCUACGGAACCGAAGUACAUGAUUCCACGCUGCCAAGAAAAGCGUCUAGAGAGAGAAGUAGUGCCCGUACCGCAAACCGACACAGGUAGGUGAGGAGAGAAUCCUAAGGCCGGCGGAAGAAUUACAGUUAAGGAACUCGGCAAAUUGACCCCGUAAGUUCGCGAGAAGGGGUGCCUACGAGAGUAGGCCGCAGAGAAUAGGCCCAAGCAACUGUUUAGCAAAAACACAGGUCUCUGCUAAAGCGUAAGCUGAUGUAUAGGGGCUGACGCCUGCCCGGUGCUGG